GAUGAACGCUGGCGGCGUGCCUAAUACAUGCAAGUCGAACGAAGAGAGAAGCUUGCUUCUCUUUUAGUGGCGAACGGGUGAGUAAUACAUAAGCAACCUACCCAUUCGACCGGGAUAACAGUUGGAAACGACUGCUAAUACCGGAUAGGUGACCGGGGGACAUCCCCUGCUCAUUAAAGCUGGGACACAGUACGAAUGGAUGGGCUUAUGGCGCAUUAGUUAGUUGGCGGGGUAACGGCCCACCAAGACGAUGAUGCGUAGCCGACCUGAGAGGGUGACCGGCCACACUGGGACUGAGACACGGCCCAGACUCCUACGGGAGGCAGCAGUAGGGAAUUUUCGGCAAUGGGCGCAAGCCUGACCGAGCAACGCCGCGUGAGUGAAGAUGGCCUUCGGGUUGUAAAGCUCUGUUGUAAGGGAAGAAUGGCCAAGAGAGGGAAUGCUCUUGGAGUGACGGUACCUUACCAGAAAGCCACGGCUAACUACGUGCCAGCCGCCGCCGUAAGAC
rnacentral:rRNA from 1 species